AUGGAGAUUUUCAGACGCACUCUAGUUUUCGUAACUGCUCUAGCGAUGGCAGCUUUGACUAUCAUCCAUGCUGUUCCUGACCCUGAACCACAGUCCCAACCAGGGCUCGUAGGUAGCCUUUUAGGGAGAAAAUAAGUUCUUGUGCAACUGACGGAUGUGGAACGUUAGAAGAUGUCUGAAUAUACUUCUUCUACAGAAACAAAAGAAAAAUUCGAAAAGCUUCGAAAAUGUUUAUUCAGUCUCAUGUUAAACAAAGCUAUCUUCCAAAUUUUUAUUAUGUGUUUCGUCUUUGGCAUAUAUUUAUAAAAUAUGAAAUAAUAAAAUAUUUCGAAAAGCUUU